rnacentral:lncRNA from 1 species
CGCAUUAGGAUCCUCUAUAGCGUGUCCUCCAUACUGGUUCUGCUGGACCAUCGUGAUCAAACCAGUCUUCAGCUCAAAAUUAUUGGCAUUAAUACGUGGAGGUUCCUGGUAAAUAUACCGAGGAACGAACAUCUCUGCAAUCGGAGGCUGAUUCUGAGCUUCUUUAGCAGCUUGAGCGUCCAACAGCUGUUGCAGCUGCUCCUGGAGAGCACGAAUUUGUUCAUCGGUAGCCAUCGUAAGCAGUGCCUAAAAAAAUGAGAAUUAAAAAUAAAAAAAAUAAAAAUAAAAGCCUGAAGUACUACUACGUCCUAUCAGAGAUAUUAAAGAAACUUCUAAUCAGUCCCCGGCAACGGCGCCAAAAAGUUGAUCACUAAUUUCUUAGCAACAAA